GCAGGAGGAGCAAGAUGAAGUCACAGACCCAGGUCCUCAUAUCCCUGCUGCUUUGGGUGUCUGGUGCCUGUGCAGACAUCGUGAUGACUCAGUCUCCAUCCUCCCUGGCUGUGUCAGCAGGAGAAAAGGUCUCCAUCAGCUGCAGGUCCAGUCAGAGCCUUUAUCACAGCAGUAGCAAAAAGAACUUAUUGGCCUGGUACCAGCAGAAACCAGGCCAAUCCCCUAAGCUGCUGAUCUACCAUGCAUCCACUCGGUACACUGGGGUCCCUGAUCGCUUCACAGGCAGUGGAUCUGGGACAGAUUACACUCUCAGCAUUAGCAGUGUGCAGGAUGAAGACCUGGCAAUUUAUUACUGUCAGCAGGGUAUUAGUGAUCCUCCCACAGUGCUUCAGCCUCCAACAGAAACCUCCUUGACCAUGUCACUAACUGCCUGCAGCACACACAGUCCUGGCCCAGCACACUUCCCCUUCUGUGUGAUAGAGGGUGUGCCUGAAAACAUGAUGAAAAAGGUUGCAGAGCCCAGUGCAAAUUAUGGGUUCAGUGUCUCUUUGGUCUUUUGGUAUGAAAAUCCUUUAAAUGAAAAUACAAAAAGAACUCAGGAUUAUCAUUCACUUCUUUCUGUUGAAUUUGGAGGACAUAAAGGAGGCCUUCAGAUUACUGUAAGAAAUCUGGAAGCUGAUGUAGAUGUUUUUAAAGAAAAAACUGCUAUUGGAACACAAGAAGUGUGA